rnacentral:rRNA from 1 species
GUGCCAGCCGCCGCGGUAAUACGGAGGAUGCAAGCGUUAUCCGGAUUUAUUGGGUUUAAAGGGUGCGUAGGUGGGCUUAUAAGUCAGCGGUGAAAUCCCCCGGCUCAACCAGGGAAUUGCCGUUGAUACUGUUAGCCUUGAGUACAGUUGAAGUGGGCGGAAUGUAGCAUGUAGCGGUGAAAUGCAUAGAUAUGCUACAGAACACCAAUAGCGAAGGCAGCUCACUAAGUUGUAACUGACACUAAUGCACGAAAGCGUGGGGAUCAAACAGGAUUAGAUACCCUGGUAGUCCACGCUGUAAACGAUGAUCACUCGUUGUUGGCGAUAUACAGUCAGCGACUGAACGAAAGUAUUAAGUGAUCCACCUGGGGAGUACGAUCGCAAGGUUGAAACUCAAAUAAAUUGACGG